rnacentral:rRNA from 1 species
CCUACGGGAGGCUGCAGUAGGGAAUCUUCCACAAUGGGCGAAAGCCUGAUGGAGCAACGCCGCGUGGGUGAAGAAGGUCUUCGGAUCGUAAAACCCUGUUGUUAGAGAAGAAAGUGCGUGAGAGUAACUGUUCACGUUUCGACGGUAUCUAACCAGAAAGCCACGGCUAACUACGUGCCAGCAGCCGCGGUAAUACGUAGGUGGCAAGCGUUAUCCGGAUUUAUUGGGCGUAAAGGGAACGCAGGCGGUCUUUUAAGUCUGAUGUGAAAGCCUUCGGCUUAACCGGAGUAGUGCAUUGGAAACGGGGAGACGUGAGUGCAGAAGAGGAGAGUGGAACGCCAUGUGUAGCGGUGAAAUGCGUAGAUAUAUGGAAGAACACCAGUGGCGAAAGCGGCUCUCUGGUCUGUAACUGACGCUGAGGUUCGAAAGCGUGGGUAGCAAACAGGAUUAGAUACCCUUGUAGUC